GAUGAACGCUGGCGGCGUGCCUAAUACAUGCAAGUCGAGCGAACAGACGAGGAGCUUGCUCCUCUGACGUUAGCGGCGGACGGGUGAGUAACACGUGGAUAACCUACCUAUAAGACUGGGAUAACUUCGGGAAACCGGAGCUAAUACCGGAUAAUAUAUUGAACCGCAUGGUUCAAUAGUGAAAGACGGUUUUGCUGUACCUUAUAGAUGGAUCCGCGCCGCAUUAGCUAGUUGGUAAGGUAACGGCUUACCAAGGCAACGAUGCGUAGCCGACCUGAAGGGGUGAUCGGCCACACUGGAACGGAGAAACGGUCCAGACUCCUACGGGAGGCAGCAGUGGGGAAUCUUCCGCAAUGGGCGAAAGCCUGACGGAGCAACGCCGCGUGAGUGAUGAAGGUCUUCGGAUCGUAAAACUCUGUUAUUAGGGAAGAACAUAUGUGUAAGUAACUGUGCACAUCUUGACGGUACCUAAUCAGAAAGCCACGGCUAACUACGUG
rnacentral:rRNA from 1 species